rnacentral:rRNA from 1 species
UCUGACGGAGCAACGCCGCGUGAACGAAGAAGGUUUUCGGAUCGUAAAGUUCUGUUGUUAGGGAAGAACAAGUACCGUUCAAAUAGGGCGGUACCUUGACGGUACCUAUCGAGGAAGCCCCGGCUAACUACGUGCCAGCAGCCGCGGUAAUACGUAGGGGGCAAGCGUUGUCCGGAAUUAUUGGGCGUAAAGCGCGCGUAGGCGGUUUCUUAAGUCUGAUGUGAAAUCUUGCGGCUCAACCGCAAGCGGCCAUUGGAAACUGAGGAACUUGAGUGCAGAAGAGGAGAGCGGAAUUCCACGUGUAGCGGUGAAAUGCGUAGAUAUGUGGAGGAACACCAGUGGCGAAGGCGGCUCUCUGGUCUGUAACUGACGCUGAGGUGCGAAAGCGUGGGGAGCGAACAGGAUUAGAUACCCUGGUAGUCCACGCCGUAAACGAUGAGUGCUAGGUGUUAGGGGGUUUCCGCCCCUUAGUGCUGCAGUUAACGCAUUAAGCACUCCGCCUGGGGAGUACGGCCGCAAGGCUGAAACUCAAAAGAAUUGACGGGGGCCCGCACAAGCGGUGGAGCAUGUGGUUUAAUUCGAAGCAACGCGAAGAACCUUACCAGGUCUUGACAUCUUCGGAUGUCCCUAGAGAUAGGGAGUUCCCUUCGGGGACCGAAUGACAGGUGGUGCAUGGUUGUCGUCAGCUCGUGUCGUGAGAUGUUGGGUUAAGUCCCGCAACGAGCGCAACCCUUGAUCUUAGUUGCCAGCAUUUAGUUGGGCACUCUAAGGUGACUGCCGGUGACAAACCGGAGGAAGGGUGGGGAUGACGUCAAAUCAUCAUGCCCCUUAUGACCUGGGCUACACACGUGCUACAAUGGAUGGAACAAAGGGCAGCGAAGCCGCGAGGUGUAGCAAAUCCCAUAAAUCCAUUCUCAGUUCGGAUUGCAGGCUGCAACUCGCCUGUAUGAAGCCGGAAUCGCUAGUAAUCGUGGAUCAGCAUGCCACGGUGAAUACGUUCCCGGGCUUG